UAGGGAAUCUUCCGCAAUGGACGCAAGUCUGUCGGAGCAACGCCGCGUGAGUGAAGAAGGAUUUCGGUUCGUAAAACUCUGUUGUUAGAGAAGAACAGCGCAUAGAGUAACUGUUAUGCGUGUGACGGUAUCUAACCAGAAAGCCACGGCUAACUACGUGCCAGCAGCCGCGGUAAUACGUAGGUGGCAAGCGUUGUCCGGAUUUAUUGGGCGUAAAGCGCGCGCAGGCGGUCAAUUAAGUCUGAUGUGAAAGCCCCCGGCUCAACCGGGGAGGGUCAUUGGAAACUGGUUGACUUGAGUGCAGAAGAGGAGAGUGGAAUUCCAUGUGUAGCGGUGAAAUGCGGAGAUAUAUGGGGGAACACCAGUGGCGAAGGAGACUCUCUGGUCUGUAACUGACGCUGAGGCUCGAAAGCGUGGGUAGCAAACAGG
rnacentral:rRNA from 1 species